rnacentral:rRNA from 1 species
UACGGGGGGAGCAAGCGUUGUUCGGAUUCACUGGGCGUAAAGGGUGCGUAGGUGGUUAGGUAAGUCUGAUGUGAAAUCUCCGGGCUCAGCCCGGAAAUGGCAUUGGAAACUAUUUGACUAGAGGGUUGGAGGGGGGACUGGAAUACUUGGUGUAGCAGUGAAAUGCGUAGAUAUCAAGUGGAACACCAGUGGCGAAGGCGAGUCCCUGGACAACUCCUGACACUGAGGCACGAAAGCUAGGGGAGCAAACAGG